AUUGAACGCUGGCGGCAUGCCUUACACAUGCGAGUCGAACGGUAACGGGCCUUCGGGCGCCGACGAGUGGCGAACGGGUGAGUAAUGCAUCGGAACGUGCCCAGUAGUGGGGGAUAGCCCGGCGAGAGCCGGAUUAAUACCGCAUGAGACCUGAGGGUGAAAGCGGGGGAUCGCAAGACCUCGCGCUACUGGAGCGGCCGAUGUCAGAUUAGCUAGUUGGUGGGGUAAAGGCCUACCAAGGCAACGAUCUGUAGUUGGGAUGAGAGGACGACCAGCCACACUGGGACUGAGACACGGCCCAGACUCCUACGGGAGGCAGCAGUGGGGAAUUUUGGACAAUGGGCGCAAGCCUGAUCCAGCAAUGCCGCGUGCAGGAAGAAGGCCUUCGGGUUGUAAACUGCUUUUGUCAGGGAAGAAAUCUUCUGGGUUAAUACCUCGGGAGGAUGACGGUACCUGAAGAAUAAGCACCGGCUAACUACGUGCCAGCCGCCGCCGUAA
rnacentral:rRNA from 1 species